CCUACGGGCGGCUGCAGUGGGGAAUAUUGCACAAUGGGCGCAAGCCUGAUGCAGCCAUGCCGCGUGUGUGAAGAAGGCCUUCGGGUUGUAAAGCACUUUCAGCGGGGAGGAAGGCGUUAAGGUUAAUAACCUUGGCGAUUGACGUUACCCGCAGAAGAAGCACCGGCUAACUCCGUGCCAGCAGCCGCGGUAAUACGGAGGGUGCAAGCGUUAAUCGGAAUUACUGGGCGUAAAGCGCACGCAGACGGUCUGUCAAGUCGGAUGUGAAAUCCCCGGGCUCAACCUGGGAACUGCAUUCGAAACUGGCAGGCUAGAGUCUUGUAGAGGGGGGUAGAAUUCCAGGUGUAGCGGUGAAAUGCGUAGAGAUCUGGAGGAAUACCGGUGGCGAAGGCGGCCCCCUGGACAAAGACUGACGCUCAGGUGCGAAAGCGUGGGGAGCAAACAGGAUUAGAUACCCUAGUAGUC
rnacentral:rRNA from 1 species